UACGUAGGGGGCAAGCGUUGUCCGGAUUUAUUGGGCGUAAAGAGCUCGUAGGCGGUUCGGCAAGUCAGCUGUGAAAUCUCCACGCUCAACGUGGAGGGGUCAGCUGAUACUGCUGUGACUCGAGUCCGGUAGGGGAGUGUGGAAUUCCCGGUGUAGCGGUGAAAUGCGCAGAUAUCGGGAGGAACACCAGUAGCGAAGGCGGCACUCUGGGCCGAUACUGACGCUGAGGAGCGAAAGCGUGGGGAGCGAACAGG
rnacentral:rRNA from 1 species